rnacentral:lncRNA from 1 species
CCCUGUCUCAUGGCAGGGGUUGUGGAAAUAAAACAAAAAACCAAAAACCCAACUUACUCCAUUGCAAAUCGAGUUUCAAACUAAGCUACUGUGUAGAAAGGCAGUUGGCAGAACCUUAUUCUUAGCCUAAAGAUUGUCAACCACAGACGUCUAGACAAGACCCUGUCUUUACAGUAACCCAAAGAGACUCAUCUCAUAGCCUUUUCCCUUAUUGUGUAAUUGUUAUCCAAAAAUAUUAACCAGAUGCCCAUUCUGUCUCUGUAGUCUCACUAACCAUUGCUCACUCAGAAAAAUAACAUGGCAGUGCUUCAUGCAGCAGAAAAAUCCCCGGAGUUGAGACAACUGUGAUUUGUACCUUUAAACCCUCCAGCCCCUGUCUUCCCCUUUUGUGACUGCCCUCAGAUUGUAAAGGAGGCUGUUGCAGCAGCACUGAAAAUAAAAUUGUUUUGCUGUUUAAAAUCUCUUAAAUUGAAAAUGUGUUGUUUGGGGGUCUUUGCCUGGUGAUCUUGAAUUCCUAGACCAAGCAUUCAUUGUUUUCUGCUUCUGCCUCAGGCUUCUGCCACCACAGUGAACUAACUAUACUCAGUCACCUAUAAGUCAAUGUUGCAGCUCUGAGGAACAUGCCACACAACCGCAGUCAAAACGAUUGCCUAUGGGAUUCUAAAUCCUGUCAAGCUGAUAGUAACUACAAGCCGCUCCUAAUACCUGUGCAGUUAUAGGAGUUGAUUUAGCUUUGAUACUAUAGUUAGUUGAACAUUGUAUAUGCCUUGCAGUUAAACAUGGGAAAGAGUGUAGAAGACCUGGGCUGCGUUUUGCCUUCCCAGGGCAUUGCCUCUGUGUUUAGAGCUGAUUUUCCUUAGGAAAUGAUCCCUCUAUGCAGCCAAAUUCCCUCCAUCUGCACACCCCUCAGGGGUCAGGGCCAGGCCUGUUGGGUGUGUGUUGGGGAAGGUGGUGUUCUCUUUGUGGUGAGUUAACAGAAAAUAUAUGCAAUCCAGGGCUUUCUGCCUGGGUCAGCAAACGGACCCUUUAUUCAGUGAAAAGCCAGCAUUCCUUAUGAAAAAAAGCUUUAGACAAGAUUUUCACUAUGUAUCCCUGGAACUCUGUAUGUAGCCCAGAUUGGCCUUGAUUUCACAGGAUCUAUCUGCAUCUGCCUCCCAAGCAAAGGCAUUUAAAGGUUGGGGACAACACAAUUUUCAUCAUCCAACAACCAGGAGUAGGAGUUGACUUGUCUAGAAGCAAUAGAAAACCUAAAAUUACAGAACACCUGAACAACCGGACAAGAACAAUUCAAAGAUCCGGACAUUUUUUUCAAGGUCAUUCUAGAUACAAUAUCUACAGUUCAGGAGAACACAUUUCUACUCUUGUCAUUUUAUUUAAGAGAAAACUCAUUACACAUUUCAUACUGUCUUUGCAUACCUGUAAGCCAAAAGAAAGCAUGUGAAUACACUACAACUUACCCCCAAAAAGCCAGCAAUCGUAACCACGGGCCAUAAAACGCACAAAACCACCAACGGCAUUACGACUCAUGUUACAAAUACAUGAAGGAGAACUUCAUUUACAGAUUGUAAGGAACUAUGACCAGACUUCUGUUUUUAAAACCAAGCUUAUUCCCCGAGAGGGGGUGCACCGUUCCUGGAAGUACUGCAAUACCAGGUCGAUGCGUGGAGUGGACGGAGCAAGCUCCUAUUCCAACUCCUAGCUCCAAAAAUCCAUUUAAUAUAUUGUCCUCGGAUAGAGGACGUAUCAGAUAUUAAACUGAUAAGAACAGAUACUACACUUGAUCUUAGCCAAAAGGCCGAG